rnacentral:lncRNA from 1 species
AGGGGUGAUAAAGGGAGGGGAGAUGAAGAUUGAGGAAGGUCAGGAGUAGGGAACUCAAAAACUUCAGAAGAAACAGGAGUAGGAGAAACUCGAACCGGUGAUAAAAUCUCCAUUAGAUCGGUUUCAAAAUCAUUUUCAUGAGUCGCAAGAAUGCUCUGAUUCUGAGCAAGAGGGGUCACUGGCGGAAUUGGGUUAGAGGUAAUAACUGGUGGGAUUGGGUCAGAGGAAGUAGCUGGUGGAUUUGGGUCAGAGGGAGGUAUCAGAGUAGAAGAGGGAUUUGGAUUAGAAGGAGUGGUUCAGGUUUGGGGCUGAGUUUUAGGUGGUAAGUUUUCUUGUGAGGCAGUAAGACAGUCUUUCUGAAUGUGGCCAAGCUGACUGCAGAAAGAGCAGGUUGGAGGGGUCCAGGGAUACGUAACCGAAAUAGGGAAGAUUUCACCACUUGAUCUCUUGAGCUCAAUAAGGUCAGGCAGCGGCGAAGUUAAAUCUGCUUCAACCUUCACAUGUGCAAGGUUGACAUCAGUGAGGUUUCGCGUGAACUCGUCCGUUUCUUUAGGUUCUCCUAUUAACCCUGCUGCAAAGCUGAGUCCUUCCAGGCCUCUAAAGUCAAGAG